AUGACAAGCACUUUGAAAAGAGGGUGAAAAGAGCCUGAAACCGUUACGGGGGAAGCGGAUUGCGUUGGAUUGAACUGACGGACCUGUGUAUUCAGCCAUUUCGGUGUAUUUACCAGGACCGUGAUCUGUCGUGGCUUUUCUGCGGCUGAUAUUGAGCUGCGGGGAGGUGAGGGCUCCCCUUUAUGGGUUGAGGACGACAGAGCGACGACGCGAUACGACCCGUCUUGAAACACGGACCAAGGAGUCUAGCACUAUUGCGAGUCGAAGGGUGUUAAAACCUGUGGGCGCAGUGAAAGCGAACUGUAAAAACGAGCAGUUUGAGGCGGCAUAAAAUCGUUGAUUUUAGGUCCGACCUAGAGCAGUUGUGCUGGGACCCGAAAGAUGGUGAACUAUGCCUGAGUAGGGCAAAGCCAGAAGAAAUUCUGGUGGAGGCUCGUAGCGGUGCUGACGUGCAAAUCGCUCGUCGAACUUGGGUAUAGGGGCGAAAGACUCAUCGAACCAUCUAGUAGCUGGUUCCCUCCGAAGUUUCUCUCAGGAUAGCAGGCCGACAGACGUUGUUUUGUGCGGUAAAGCGAAU
rnacentral:rRNA from 1 species